UGCCAUUGCAAUGAUGAUAAAUGUGAAUCCCAGCUCAUUAUGAGGCCUUUCUUAAGGUCAGGGAAUGGAACCCUCCUCACAUAUAUCUGAGCCUUUCU
rfam:Cajanus cajan CcLG03_1351, whole genome shotgun sequence.